GUUGCCAGCUUUGCAUUCACCACGCUCCAGCCGCAGUUGGGAGUGGUGCUCUCUGAUGAGCGACGGAUGAUCAUCGCUGACAUACCUGGGCUCAUAGCUGGGGCAUCUGAUAAUAGAGGCCUUGGACAUUCUUUCCUGAGGCACAUCGAGCGUACCAGCAUGCUCGCAUUUGUAGUUGAUCUCAGCACUGGACUGCACGGUGAUGGGGGCCUCCCACCGUGCCAACAGCUAAAGAUGCUGCAGGUUGGGCAUCCUCCUACCCACACGGCCAGUUGUUUGGAAGUCAAUAUGUGCACUGCUGCUGAAACGAACCCCAUACCGAUGUGCCGAGAAUUCGGGUGGACCUUACCUGCAGGAUGAGCUGCGCCUGUACUCGCCCGCGCUGCUUCAGAAGCCUGCUAUAGUGGUCGCUAACAAAACAGAUUUGUUGAAAGAGCACGAAUCUGCCCUGGCAGUGACAACAUUGCAGCAGUCGACAGAUUUACCUGCUGUAGCUGUGUCUGCACUGAAGCGGGAUGGCAUUUCUGUUUUGAGGGAUGCUCUUUUGCAGCACAAUCUACGCCCUGAUCUGCGACAUCAUCCCACACAGUGAAGUGAUGAAAAACACAUCUUGAGAUCUUGAGCUGAGUGGCAUUCGUUCAUUCAUUCGCAAACAAGGUCUAUCAGAUCUGCUACUUGAGGAGUGUACCAUGCUUGUAAUCUGCACCAUCUGAUGUUUUGUUGGCCAA
rnacentral:lncRNA from 1 species